UACGUAGGGGGCUAGCGUUGUCCGGAAUCAUUGGGCGUAAAGCGCGUGUAGGCGGCCCGAUAAGUCCGCUGUGAAAGUCCAGGGCUCAACCCUGGGAUGCCGGUGGAUACUGUCGGGCUAGAGUGCGGAAGAGGCGAGUGGAAUUCCUGGUGUAGCGGUGGAAUGCGCAGAUAUCAGGAGGAACACCAAUAGCGAAGGCAGCUCGCUGGGACGUUACUGACACUGAGAUGCGAAAGCGUGGGGAGCGAACAGG
rnacentral:rRNA from 1 species